GCCAGGCACGGUGGUGCAUGCCUGCAAUUCCAGCAACUUGGGAGGCUAAGGCAGGUGGAUCAUGAGUUCAAAGCUGGCCUCAGCAAUUUACCAUGGCCCUAAGCAACACAGUGAGACCCUGUCUCUA
rnacentral:sRNA from 1 species